rnacentral:rRNA from 1 species
CCUACGGGAGGCUGCAGUGAGGAAUAUUGGUCAAUGGACGAGAGUCUGAACCAGCCAAGUAGCGUGAAGGAUGACUGCCCUAUGGGUUGUAAACUUCUUUUAUCAAGGAAUAAAACGAGGCACGUGUGCCUUUUUGCAUGUACUUUAUGAAUAAGGAUCGGCUAACUCCGUGCCAGCAGCCGCGGUAAUACGGAGGAUCCGAGCGUUAUCCGGAUUUAUUGGGUUUAAAGGGAGCGUAGAUGGGUUGUUAAGUCAGUUGUGAAAGUUUGCGGCUCAAACGUAAAAUUGCAAUUGAUACUGGAAGUCUUGAGUACAGUUGAGGUAUGCGGAAUUCGUGGUGUAGCGGUGAAAUGCUUAGAGAUCACGAAGAACCCCGAUUGCGAAGGCAGCUUACUAAACUGUGACUGACAUUGAUGCUCGAAAGUGUGGGUAUCAAACAGGAUUAGAUACCCCAGUAGUC